rnacentral:rRNA from 1 species
GAUGAACGCUGGCGGCGUGCCUAAUACAUGCAAGUCGAGCGAACAGACGAGAGUGCUUGCACUCUCUGACGUUAGCGGCGGACGGGUGAGUAACACGUGGGUAACCUACCUAUAAGACUGGGAUAACUUCGGGAAACCGGAGCUAAUACCGGAUAAUAUUUAGCUUCGCAUGAAGCAAUAGUGAAAGACGGUUCUACUGUCACUUAUAGAUGGACCCGCGGUGUAUUAGCUAGUUGGUGAGGUAACGGCUCACCAAGGCAACGAUACAUAGCCGACCUGAGAGGGUGAUCGGCCACACUGGGACUGAGACACGGCCCAGACUCCUACGGGAGGCAGCAGUAGGGAAUCUUCCGCAAUGGACGAAAGUCUGACGGAGCAAUGCCGCGUGAGUGAAGAAGGUUUUCGGAUCGUAAAACUCUGUUGUAAGGGAAGAACAAGUACGUUAGUAACUGAACGUACCUUGACGGUACCUUACCAGAAAGCCACGGCUAACUACGUG